GACGAACGCUGGCGGCGUGCUUAACACAUGCAAGUCGAACGGAAAGGCCCUUCGGGGUACUCGAGUGGCGAACGGGUGAGUAACACGUGGGUGAUCUGCCCUGCACUUUGGGAUAAGCCUGGGAAAUUGGGUCUAAUACCGAAUAGGACCACGCGCUUCAUGGUGUGUGGUGGAAAGCUUUUGCGGGGUGGGAUGGGCCCGCGGCCUAUCAGCUUGUUGGUGGGGUAAUGGCCUACCAAGGCGACGCCGGAUAGCCGGCCUGAGAGGGUGACCGGCCACACUGGGACUGAGAUACGGCCCAGACUGCUACGGGAGGCAGCGGUGGGGAAUAUUGCACAAUGGGCGCAAGCCUGAUGCAGCGGCGCCGCGUGAGGGAUGCCGGCCUUCGGGUUGUAAACCUCUUUCAAUAGGGACGAAGCGCAAGUGACGGUACCUAUAGAAGAAGCACCGGCCAACUACGUG
rnacentral:rRNA from 1 species